GGAGUCCAGGAAAGCAAUUUGAGCUGAGGAGUCACAUUUGGGGUUCCUCAGCAUAUAGAGGGUGAGUGAAGCUAAGAGGCUGAUGAAAUCCCCUAGUUAGGGGAUGUAGAUAGAAUUGAAAAGAUCUAAGGUCUGGGCUCACAGGCACUCCAGUGUUUAGAGGUGAGAGAUUGAGAGGUGAGGAAAAACACUCUUGAGGAGAUUUACUAUAAAAAGUGACAGAAAAAUGAGCUCCAGUGGUGGCUGAAAGGUGCGGUGGGGUCAACUGAAGUCUUCUCUUUGUUUAAUUGGGAAAAGUAACAUCAUUUGUGUGAACUGAUGGGACUGAUCUAAAAAGGAGGGAGGAGAGAGAAGGGUGAAGACAGAGGGAAACGCUGAAGUGAUGUCUUUAGUAGGCAAGAAAAGAGGAUUUAGAAGAUAAAGUAGAGAUUUGCCUUAGAUAGGAACUUAAUUAAUUCAUCAUAAUAAUAGUAGGAGCAUAUGGACAUAAUAAUAAUAAUAGCUGAGCAUCUGGGCAUCAUUAGAGAUAAGUGAGUAAAUGUGGUGUGGGGGCCUGUGGAAGUGCUCUUUGGUGAGGUCAUUUUUCAGACAAGGUUUUCCUGAGGUGGCAAGUAUCUAAUUAAGGAAGUGCUCCCAGGAGAAAGCUUUUGGGAAUUGGGAACUGAAGACCGACCGAGAAGAAGCAAAUGCUGGCAACGGUCCCAAGAGUAGCUUCAGGAUGAUCCCAGAGGGAAAUCCUGGAGGGUUUGACUAUGAAUAGCUCAGUCUUACUGGAGGAUCUCAAUCUUGCUGGAGGGUCUCAAUUCUACUGGAAAGCUUCAGAGAAAACAGGUGAAAUUCAGAUUUGUCCUUUCAGAGGAUAGGGGAGAAGAAACUUAUGUUGACCAGUCACAGAUCCCAUUGCCUGAGGGAAAUUUAAACUUGGUGGGACUGGCAUCUAGCUUUACAUGUGCCACAGGUGAUGUUGGUGUGAUCUGAGAACUGCAGGAGGACAUGAGUGAAAGUCAUCCAAAUUAUAACAGAAUUUCAAGAUGUGGCCUGACUUGAAACUAAGUGGCAAGGAUGCACCAGCAGAGAAUAUGCAGAAUAUAAAGAAGAGAAUAAAGUUUCUAAUUCUCCUUGGGAAUCAAAUGUGAUAAGUGUGUAUGAGAAAGUGAAUUAUGAGGAGUGUGUGUGUGUGUGUGCGUGUGUAUGUGCUUGCUGGCAUGGUUCUUUUAUCAAGCUUCUCUAUUAUAAAGCUUAUGUUUUCUGAUUUUUAAUCAUCCUUUGAAUUUAUGCCAUGCAAAAAUCAAUAACA
rnacentral:lncRNA from 1 species